AUGCGAUAAUUAGCGGGGCAUCAUGUUACUGUGUAUCGUUCUCAAAGUCCUCUGCAAAGUGAUCCUUUACCGGAUACAGGAGAAGAUUGACGCAACUCUCCGACGAAAGCAAGCAGCAUUCCGUGCCGGACGAUCCUGUGUGGACCAUAUUGUCAUGCUCCGUAUUAUUCUGGAGCAAAUCAGUGAAUUCCAAUGGUCUCUCUACCUGAUGUUUAUUGAUUACGAGAAAGCUUUCGACCGUCUCAAUCACGAAAACAUGUGGGAAGCCCUCAGGCGCAAGGGACUCCCUGAAAAAAUCAUCGGCUUUAUUGAAGCACAGUACAGGGCAUUUUCGUGCAGAGUACUGCACAACGGUGCGGUGUAUUGUCCGAUCCCAUCCGGUUUGUUGCUGGAUGGAGAUCUUUCAAUUCGGCUCUCGAAACCACCAUGGGUGCUCAGGACUGAAAGUAAGUGUGCAAGUGCUAGAACAGAAUAGAAAAGGAAAAGAUUUCCCCAUUAUUCCCCACUCCAUGAACAGUGGUUCUAAUUUUCGCUAUCAUAUCACCAUGUCCAAAUCAUAGCUUGUACAGCCCUAAUAGCGUAAAGCGUUCCACCAGGGCAGACCUCGUGUCAUGCUCGGGAAAGCAUCAUCGGUACAAAUAAAUUAAUUAAAAAAGAUAAUAAAUCGCUCGUUUUUAUGUUGGCGCUGGAAGUGCUUCAGGAUUACAAAUGAAUUGUGUGAGAAUGGUGUACCAUUUCACAGCGCACCGCCAGAGAGGGUGUAAGUGUGUAGAUACUGAAAUCCAGACUGUAUGGGUGAUGAAGCGGUGGAAUGACAAAUAGAGCUUCCGUAUCCGGUGCCCCUUGCUUCCUGCCGGAGAUAGACGUUCUCUUCAUCACACGGGUGCACGAAAACGAACGGAAAAGAUAAAACCCUUGCACUAGUGAACGAACACAUCACAACCACCAGUCGUCGUCGUCGUUUGCGUUGUGUGUAGGAAACAGUGAGCCACCUUGUUCAGGCCAGUGCGCUUCACCCAGCCGCGCUUCGUGUGGUGUGUUCCACGGAAAGCUGGCUAGAUUGUGAAUAAGUAGAUGAAAUAUGGGAAUAAAAGUGCUUUCUCAUGCUUCCGGUCGGGUACGCGGGACGACGACGGCUACCACGGGGACUAACGAAGUUAUUAUGCAUCAUCCCGACAGGAACAUCGGGGCACGGAGAGUGCCAGUUCAGUGGGUCACCCGGCGCGUUGCUGUCGUAUCGUGCUGUCAGGCACGCGGCUGUGGGAGGAUUCUACAAAGUAUGUCACUGGAAUUUGUGUGUUAUUUUGCAUGAUUACAUACAUGCAUAACUAUGAAAAGGUUGAAAGUCAAUUGUUCGGAGUUCUGAUACGCACUAAGAAUCAUAGUAAACAAAUUAAAUUUUAAAUGACAUCGUGCACCAAGAUAUAAUCACUUCGCCUUGUGGUGAGCUGAAGGCAGUUGUUCCUCGCACAUCCAGCUUUUCACUGUGUCUAGGGGCCCCGUUGCAUCUGUUAUGGCUAUAAGGAAGAUGGAGCACAGUUUUGGAUUUUAUGUUGAUACCAGAAAUGCAUGGGUAAAAUGUUCCUAUCUCAUGCUUGUACGAGUCCACCGAUGAUAAUUACAGCCAGCUGAGAGUUCUGCGAUUCCGGAAAAUGAAGAAAAAUCGAACGAAACAAGACCGCAUACGGGUAUUUAGCAAUACUAUGUUGAGGCUGAGGGUGACGAGUUCGAUUCCCAGUCGGUCCAGGAUAAUUUCGUUACGGAAAUUAAGAUUUUUGUUAUUUUCCAGGGUGGUCUAGAUAAUUGGAACAAUUAUUGUUUCGAUAGAGCACUGCCUGUGGGUGGCGUUUCACAAUCGAAUCAAGUCUUAGGUGAUUUAAUCAAUGGUUAUGGUGUUGUUAGUUGCUGAGCUGCCGGUACGUUGUUUACUCGGGCCUGAGGGACGACCGCCUCGAUAUUUUCGUCCGUCUCGGAGAAGUCCUCGUAAGUCGCGUUGUAGUCGAUGCUUCUCUGGAUGAGAUUCUUGAUGAUAGUUGAGCCACUUUGUUUUUUUUCGCCGAAUAUCUAUUACAAGUUUUAAUUUUGUGCAAUGUACCUUUUAUAACUUGUUAACUUUUCUCGACAAUCUUUCUUGAUUUUUAUGAUGUUGAUGUCCUCUGUGUCGAGAAAAUCAGCAAAUUAUUCAGAAUUGAACAGGCGAUUCAGUUGGUUACGAUGAUGAUGUCGAUAAGGUCAUGACACAAUGAUGAUGGUCAGUUCAAUAUUGGGGACUAAGAAUAUUUAUCUUUUGGACAGGUAGAGUAAAGUGGGGCAAAAGUUCGAGUGGGGCAAGAGUUUCUUUUGAAGUUUUUGAGCUAAAUUCAAAUUAUUUCUUUCGGGUGUCAAGGUUGUUCGAA